AGAAUGCAGAAAUCAUAUACAGAACAGAAUUAAGACUCGGCCAGUCAAAUAUUUCACAGAAGAGUUUAAGGAACAGAAUAUUUUGUUGGUGAAUGAACAAAUGGUUUGCCGACAUUUUCUUCAUGGAAAGUGCAUCAAGGGUGACAACUGUCAAAUGCAACACAUUGAGCCUGAGAACAAUCUCGUCAAAACGCGUUGCAAGUAUUACAUGCAGGGAGC